AUUGAACGCUGGCGGCAUGCCUUACACAUGCAAGUCGAACGGCAGCACGGGAGCUUGCUCCUGGUGGCGAGUGGCGAACGGGUGAGUAAUACAUCGGAACGUACCCAGUAGUGGGGGAUAACGCACCGAAAGGUGCGCUAAUACCGCAUACGACCUACGGGUGAAAGCGGGGGACCGUAAGGCCUCGCGCUAUUGGAGCGGCCGAUGUCUGAUUAGCUAGUUGGCGGGGUAAAAGCCCACCAAGGCGACGAUCAGUAGCUGGUCUGAGAGGACGAGCAGCCACACUGGGACUGAGACACGGCCCAGACUCCUACGGGAGGUAGCAGUGGGGAAUUUUGGACAAUGGGGGCAACCCUGAUCCAGCAAUGCCGCGUGUGCGAAGAAGGCCUUCGGGUUGUAAAGCACUUUUGUCAGGGAAGAAAUCUUUCAGGCUAAUACCCUUGGAAGGAUGACGGUACCUGAAGAAUAAGCACCGGCUAACUACGUGCCAGCAGCCGCAGUAA
rnacentral:rRNA from 1 species